GUCCGCAUCCGGCUUCCCAGUCCACGCUCUCUGACCAUUGGCUGAGCCUCCUGUUCAUCAUGUCUUGGAGCCAGCCCUACUCCCUCGUUGGAGCAAUUGGGUGGCCGUCAAAAUCUAGUUUCCUAUUGGCUGAAGCUCCUGCUCCCCGGGUUCCAACCCGAUCAGUGGCCUGUGCGGCCUUCUAGGCAUUGGCUGGGAGGUGAGAAGGGAGAGCAUUCCAGGCAGAGGGGACUGCCUGGGCAAAGGCUGGGCAACCAAUGAUGGAGCGUCUUGCGGAACAGCUGUAGGCCAGUUUGGCCAGUCUGCAGAACGCAUGGAGGAAGCUGAAACCUAAGAAGGAGGCGGGCUGCAGAGGAGCAGUGACUUGGGGGCAAUAGGGAGCCAGGGGUGUUCCAUGACUGUCCGGCAGCUCUGUAGAUGUAUGUCCGCCGCAGCUGGCGGCUGGGAGUAAAGCGCCAGACCCCAAAUGGCGAUCCUAAGAGCCCCUGCUUCCCAGGGCUAUGCUCUAGGUCUGAGAUGACUGUAGAGGAAAGAGAGAGAAAGAACAGAAGAAUUUUUCUGGUGAGAAUGGUUCUUACUAUUUUAUAGUAAAGAGACCUUGUUCCUGUUGUGGCUGGAGAGAAAAUGGAGAAGACAGAGAGAUGGAAGAUGGAGAGGUUUUCUGAUGCAGCUGUUUUCACCCUCACCUUGUGAAGAGGAUUGUGGAAAACAGCCUGGAUUUGAUAUCUUGAGACAAACUGACAGCGAGAUUUGAGAUGACUGGCUGUCAUGUUUCUCCCAGAUUAAAUAUUGGAAAUUCAGUAGAGGGACUGGUCAGUGAAAGCCCAAUAUUUAAAGUGUGUGCGCUAUGAUCAGCUUGAUGCCAGCCCAAGUGGAGGUUGUGGACCUGGCUUCCAGAAAUGUGUAAUGAGGGUGGCGGCCCUUUGCCUGUCCUCUUCCGGGCCCGUCAGGGUGUCCUCUAUUUCCUGUUGGCUCACAAUGUGGAGGUAAAAAUUCUUUUAAUUGGUCCCUGAGUCAGAAUUAAGUGCAUAUACAAACGCUCAGACGGAUGAGCCACCCCUUUCUUCCCUGGGAAUGACUGAGGCAAGAACAGCCGGGAGUGGCUGGGUGGGAGAGCCCCUCUCUCUCCUGGUCACCAGGCACCCCUAUUGCUCCUUCCUGAUCUCAGGUCAAGGAGAAGCCGAGGCAGAGAUGACCGUGGCAUGACUUUGUGAGCUGUGGAAGAUCCCAAGUGACUUCAGAAGCCCAAGUGGAUCUGGAGCAGCCUCUGGGAGCUACAGCAUUGAUGCCACUGAGGGGCCAGCUCUGAGAAUUGACUUGCUUGGACAAGCCCAGCAGCAAAUCAUCUUGGCAGACCAGAUGCUGGGUUUUGUAAUAAAGGGAGCAGCUCUUCCA
rnacentral:lncRNA from 1 species